GGGCCGCACCGAGCCGGGGCGCCCUGAAAUCGUCCGCGACCGCCCCUCACUACUUUAUGCGUGGGGAAACUGAGGCUCGGAGAGAGGCGCACAGCCCGAGCAGCAGCAGGGCGGGAAGCCGGGAGCUGGGCGGGGAGCGCACGUCCCCACCGCCGCGAGAGCGUCCUCUCCAUCCUUCCUCUAACGUUUUUCCCGCCCUGUCCCCACCUGGCCAACUCCGGUUUGUCCUGCAGGACGUGUCUCUUAGGCCACUGUGUCCACAGCCCUCUCCCCAUCAGGGGUGUCCGCUCUCCACUGGACUCCCAGCUCCUGUACACCGAACUCUGCCCUCUGCCGGGCCGUUGGGAGGACUCCAUGGAUCCAAACACGGAGCACUUCCUGCCGUGAGCGCGUGGAGCUCAGCAAACUCCAGAGGUUUGUAGGACCCGCAGCCCCCGGCUCUGAGGAGACACCGAGGGGCUGUUACCAGCCCUCCCGUCUGGCUGUGGCCAAUCCCAGAGAUGGCUUCGGUCUGCACAGAUAAAAAGUUUCAGAUGGUCUGUAGCGGCACCCCCUUCUUGUGGGGACAAGAGCAGCUUAAGAGCACCGAGGCAACAUCUGUUCCAUCCCUGGCUUCUAGAUGCCCAGGGAACGACCCCAGGUGGGGCUGACCCCCAUCUCCGUCACCCGCCUGAGUGCUCUAACCCGGUCGGGCUCCGGCUGUCCCCUGUCCUGAGCUCAUGACCUAAGACUGUCAGGGGCAAAGCAAGGCCCGCAGCUUUGGAGUAUGGAGGAGGGAAAGGAAGGCCCUUCCGGGUGAGCCGCGUGAGCCUGAACCUGAAAGUGGAGCAGCCGCAAGGGAAGAUGACGACAUAGGUAGAGCUCAGGUGGAGAAAAUCCCAGAGAGAUGGUCAGCCUCUGACUGGUCAGCUUGAGCCCAACCUGCUUCCAGAGGUUUCGGACAGGUGAGCCAAGGAAUCAAUUUUACUAUUUAAGCUGGUUUCCAUCGAGACUUUGUUACCGGUUGCUGAAAGCAUCCUGACAAAUGUGAACACCUGAGGACUCUCUCCUCCUGUGUAAACUGAGCUUGUCAACUUAGUGGGAGCAGAAACCGGGGCGCCUGGGUGGCACAGUCGUUUAAACGUCCAGCUCGGGGAUUUGUUCAGGGUGUGAUCUCACGGCUCAGGAGUUCGGGCUCUGCGCUGACGGUGAGGAGCCUGCUUGGGAUUCUCUCCCUCUCUGCCCCUCCCGCGUGCAUUCGCUGUCUCAAAAUUGCAGGAGUUAAUGAUUGCAACAAGUUAACUUGUUAACGCCAACAAGUGGCAUUAGAAAAUGGAGUUUCAGGUAAAUG